rnacentral:rRNA from 1 species
GAUGAACGCUGGCGGCGUGCCUAAUACAUGCAAGUCGAGCGAACAGACGAGGAGCUUGCUCCUCUGACGUUAGCGGCGGACGGGUGAGUAACACGUGGAUAACCUACCUAUAAGACUGGGAUAACUUCGGGAAACCGGAGCUAAUACCGGAUAAUAUAUUGAACCGCAUGGUUCAAUAGUGAAAGACGGUUUUGCUGUCACUUAUAGAUGGAUCCGCGCCGCAUUAGCUAGUUGGUAAGGUAACGGCUUACCAAGGCAACGAUGCGUAGCCGACCUGAGAGGGUGAUCGGCCACACUGGAACUGAGACACGGUCCAGACUCCUACGGGAGGCAGCAGUAGGGAAUCUUCCGCAAUGGGCGAAAGCCUGACGGAGCAACACCGCGUGAGUGAUGAAGGUCUUCGGAUCGUAAAACUCUGUUAUUAGGGAAGAUCAAAUGUGUAAGUAACUAUGCACGUCUUGACGGUACCUAAUCAGAAAGCCACGGCUAACUACGUG